rnacentral:rRNA from 1 species
CCUACGGGAGGCAGCAGUGAGGAAUAUUGGUCAAUGGCCGGAAGGCUGAACCAGCCAUGCCGCGUGAAGGUCAGUGCCCUAUGGGCGUUAAACUUCUUUUGUGCCGGAGCAAUAAUGGUCACGUGUGGCCAGACGAGAGUACCGUACGAAUAAGCAUCGGCUAACUCCGUGCCAGCAGCCGCGGUAAUACGGGGGAGGCAAGCGUUAUCCGGAGUUAUUGGGUUUAAAGGGUGCGUAGGCUGUGAGGUAAGUCAGCGGGGAAAUGCCCCCGCUCAACGGGGUGAAGUGCCAUUGAUACUGCCUUGCUGGAAUGCGGAUGCCGUGGGAGGAAUGUGUGGUGUAGCGGUGAAAUGCAUAGAUAUCACACAGAACACCGAUUGCGAAGGCAUCUCACGAAUCCGCGAUUGACGCUGAUGCACGAAAGCGUGGGUAUCAAACAGGAUUAGAUACCCGGGUAGUC